AUUGAACGCUGGCGGCAUGCCUUACACAUGCAAGUCGAACGGCAGCGGACCUUCGGGUGCCGGCGAGUGGCGAACGGGUGAGUAAAGUAUUGGAACGUACCUUUCAGUGGGGGAUAACGUAGCGAAAGUUACGCUAAUACCGCAUAUUCUGUGAGCAGGACAGCAGGGGAUCGCAAGACCUUGCGCUGAUUGCGCGGCCGAUAUCAGAUUAGCUAGUUGGUGAGGUAAAGGCUCACCAAGGCGACGAUCUGUAGCGGGUCUGAGAGGAUGAUCCGCCACACUGGAACUGAGACACGGUCCAGACUCCUACGGGAGGCAGCAGUGGGGAAUUUUGGACAAUGGGGGCAACCCUGAUCCAGCCAUGCCGCGUGAGUGGAGAAGGCCUUCGGGUUGUAAAGCUCUUUCGGCCGGGAAGAAAUCGCGCCAGUUAAUACCUGGUGUGGAUGACGGUACCGGAAUAAGAAGCACCGGCUAACUACGUGCCAGCCGCCGCGGUAAAAC
rnacentral:rRNA from 1 species